rnacentral:rRNA from 1 species
CCCUUAGAUGUUCGGGGCCGCACGCGCGCUACACUGAAGGAAUCAGCACGUCUUUCUCCUUGUCCGAAAGGACUGGGUAACCCGCUGAACCUCCUUCGUGCUAGGGAUUGGGGCUUGUAAUUCUUCCCCAUGAACGAGGAAUUCCCAGUAAGCGCGAGUCAUAAGCUCGCGUUGAUUACGUCCCUGCCCUUUGUACAUACCGCCCGUCGCUACUACCGAUUGGAUGGUUUAGUGAGAUCCUCGGAUUGGUCCCGGCGCGGCCUCUGGUCGUGCCGGAGUGCCGAAAAGAAUGUCGAACUUGAUCAUCUAGAGGAAGUAAAAGUCGUAACA